UUUCCUUGUUUUCUUUUCAUUUCUUUUCUCUUCUUGCUUCAUUCUUCUCCCAACUUCUUGUGCACCAAACUUACAACUUCUAACCCUAAUUUCCAGCACAUAGAAACUCUAGGAGAAGAAGAAAGAAAAAGAGAGAAAGGAAGAAAAAGCUUGGUUUUGGUGAUUCAAGCAGGAACGCAAAGAUUGGCUUGAUUGAAGAAAAAUUGGUAACAUGUAAGCCAAUAAACCCAUGGGUACAUGAAGGACUCAAAGUAGAAAAGGAAAACGGAAGUGCAAAGAUAAGGUUAGAGUAUUGUG
rnacentral:lncRNA from 1 species